rnacentral:rRNA from 1 species
UACGGAGGGGACUAGCGUUGUUCGGAAUUACUGGGCGUAAAGCGCACGUAGGCGGGCUGUUAAGUCAGGGGUGAAAUCCUGGGGCUCAACCCCAGAACUGCCCUUGAUACUGGCAGCCUCGAGUCCGAGAGAGGUGAGUGGAAUUCCGAGUGUAGAGGUGAAAUUCGUAGAUAUUCGGAGGAACACCAGUGGCGAAGGCGGCUCACUGGCUCGGUACUGACGCUGAGGUGCGAAAGCGUGGGGAGCAAACAGG